rnacentral:rRNA from 1 species
UUUGAUCCUGGCUCAGGACGAACGCUGGCGGUGCGCCUUAUGCAUGCAAGUCGAGCGAAGCUUUUCAGUAGUUUACUACAGAAAAUGACUGAGCGGCGAACGGGUGAGUAACGCGUGAGCAAUCUACCUUAGUUACAGGGAUAGCCCGAGGAAACUCGGAUUAAUACCUGAUAUUCUUUACAUUUCGCAUGAAAUUAAAAGGAAAGGUCAGCCGAACUAAGAUGAGCUCGCGUUCUAUCAGCUAGUUGGUGAGGUAAAAGCUCACCAAGGCUACGACGGAUAGCUGGUCUGAGAGGACGAUCAGCCACACUGGGACUGAGACACGGCCCAGACUCCUACGGGAGGCUGCAGCAGGGAAUAUUGUGCAAUGAACGAAAGUUUGACACAGCGACACCGCGUGUGGGAUGACGGAUCUAGGUUUGUAAACCACUUU